rnacentral:misc_RNA from 1 species
CUGCUCGAAAACAUGCCUCCUCCAGCUGCCAUGUUCAUGGACUUGAAUGGCAUAGGCACGAGCUCUUGAGGAAGGGAUUUGAGAGAGUUCUUGGGAUCAAAGCUGUUGAAAUCUGAUAUCCCAACAGAUGUGCUGUUGGCAUUGGUGCUGGUUAAGGGCAUCGAGGACAUGAUGUCAGGCAUUUGGGUCUGCAAGUUGGAUCCCAUGUUAGACAUUAGUCCUUGGUUAACUUUGUUGUUUUCUUCUGCUAAUGCGUCACAAAAAGCUCUGUGGGUGAUGAAGCUGUCUCUUCUGGAAAAGAUGGUUCCACAAUCACAUUUGUAUUCCCUUGUACCACAGGUCUUCUGAUGAGCCUUCCAAUCAGAUUGAACUGCAUAUUUCUUAGAGCACUUGUCG